CUAUGCUCCCACCGGUGGCGGGAACCCAAUUCUUCCCUCCCCCGUCCUCUCGCUCUGUCUCUCUCUUUCCGAUUCGUCGCCCCUCUCCUCCCUGCUCUUCCCCACCCCUGAUCCCGCGGCCACCAUGAGCGGAGGUAACGCCAAGCGCCGCGGGGGCCCGCCCCCGGCGCCCGCUUCGAACCCCUCGAAGCGAUUCCAGCCCGGCAGCCAAAACCCUCAACCCCCGCAGCAGCCGUUGAAUGGGGUGGCGGCGGAGGAGGAGAUGAUGGACGAGGACGUCUUCUUGGAGGAGACUCUACUGAGAUACGAGGAGGACGAGGAGGCCGUCCUCCUCCUCCGUGACGAGGCCUUCUCAUCUCGCCUUUCGCGGUGGAGGCGCCCUGCCCUCUCACCCUCCCACCUCUCUGGCUGCGAAAGCAUCGUUUUUCAGCAGCUCGAGAUCGAUUACGUGAUAGGCGAAAGCCAUAAAGAACUGCUGCCUAACUCGUCUGGGCCUGCAGCGAUUCUUAGGAUCUUCGGUGUGACCAGAGAGGGUCACAGUGUAUGCUGUCAUGUUCAUGGCUUUGAGCCUUACUUCUACAUCAGUUGUCCUGUGGGAAUGGGCCCUGAUGAUAUCUCCCGCUUUCACCAAACCUUAGAGGGGAGAAUGAGAGAGUCAAAUAGAAACAGCAAUGUGGCAAGGUUCAUUAAGCGGGUUGAGUUGGUGCAGAAAAAAAGCAUUAUGUAUUACCAGAAGCAUUCGUCACAGCCUUUCCUUAAGAUUGUUGUUGCCUUGCCGACUAUGGUUGCUAGCUGUCGUGGUAUUCUUGAGAGGGGCAUAACAAUUGACGGCAUUGGUUCAAAGAAUUUCCUGACGUAUGAGAGCAACAUUCUUUUUGCUCUUCGAUUCAUGAUUGAUUGCAACAUUGUUGGGGGCAAUUGGAUUGAAAUUUCUGCAGGAAAAUAUAAAAAGGCGAUCAAGAGCAUGUCUUAUUGCCAACUGGAACUUGAUUGCCUAUAUUCUGAGUUGAUUAGUCAUGCCCCAGAAGGUGAAUACUCUAAAAUGGCUCCAUUUCGUAUAUUAAGUUUUGACAUUGAGUGUGCUGGUCGUAAAGGACUCUUUCCUGAGCCAACUCAUGAUCCUGUUAUUCAGAUAGCCAACUUGGUCACCCUUCAAGGAGAUGAUCACCCUUUCAUACGAAAUGUAAUGACUCUUAAAUCGUGUUCUCCAAUCGUUGGAGUUGAUGUGAUGUCAUUUGAUACAGAGAGAGAGGUUUUGCUUGCUUGGAGGGAUUUUGUUCGUGAGAUAGACCCUGAUAUUAUAAUUGGUUACAAUAUCUGCAAAUUUGAUCUGCCAUAUCUUAUUGAGAGAGCUGAAGCCCUUAAGAUUGGUGAGUUUCCAAUACUUGGUCGCAUAAGAAACAGUCGGGUUCGUGUCCGAGAUACAACGUUCUCAUCCAGGCAAUAUGGUGUAAGGGAAAGCAAAGAAGUUAAAGUGGAGGGAAGAGUUCAAUUUGAUCUGCUUCAGGCUAUGCAAAGAGAUUACAAGCUUAGCUCCUAUUCUUUGAAUUCUGUUUCAGCACACUUUCUUGGAGAGCAAAAAGAGGAUGUUCAUCAUUCAAUAAUAUCUGACCUUCAAAAUGGCAACGCUGAGACAAGAAGGCGGCUAGCUGUCUACUGUUUGAAGGAUGCGUACCUUCCACAGAGACUUCUGGACAAGUUGAUGUAUAUUUACAACUAUGUAGAAAUGGCCCGAGUUACUGGUGUCCCUAUAUCAUUUCUACUAGCAAGAGGCCAGAGCAUUAAGGUUCUCUCUCAACUCCUAAGGAAAGCUAAGCAGAAGAAUCUUGUUAUUCCAAAUAUCAAAGGGCAGGGAUCUGGACAAGAAACUUUUGAGGGUGCAACUGUUUUAGAGGCAAAGACUGGAUUUUAUGAAAAGCCCAUAGCAACUUUGGACUUUGCUUCUUUGUAUCCAUCCAUCAUGAUGGCAUACAAUUUGUGCUACUGCACUCUGGUUACUGCAGAAGAUGCUCGCAGGCUAAACCUGCCAGCAGAGAGUAUAAACAAAACCCCCUCAGGUGAAGUCUUUGUUAAAUCUGAGUUGCAGAAGGGCAUACUUCCUGAAAUCCUAGAAGAGCUAUUGGCUGCUCGUAAAAGAGCAAAAGCUGAUUUGAAGGAAGCAAAAGAUCCUUUUGAGAAGGCUGUACUAGAUGGACGGCAGUUGGCUUUGAAAAUAAGUGCAAACUCUGUAUAUGGGUUUACUGGAGCUACUAUUGGUCAGUUACCUUGUUUAGAGAUAUCUUCAAGUGUGACGAGCUAUGGUCGACAAAUGAUUGAGCAUACAAAGAAGCUGGUGGAAGAAAAAUUUACAAUAAGUGGGGGCUAUGAUCGUAAUGCAGAGGUUGUUUAUGGAGACACCGACUCUGUUAUGGUACAAUUUGGUGAGCCAACUGUAGAGGCAGCAAUGAAACUAGGAAGAGAAGCAGCAGAAUAUAUUACUGGGACUUUCAUAAAGCCCAUCAGGCUAGAAUUCGAAAAGGUCUACUAUCCUUACUUGCUAAUAAGCAAGAAGAGAUAUGCUGGCUUGUACUGGACAAAGCCUGAUACUUUUGACAAAAUGGACACCAAAGGCAUUGAGACUGUCAGAAGAGACAACUGUUUGUUGGUUAAAAAUCUGGUAAAUGAGUGUCUUCACAAGAUACUAAUAGACCAAGAUGUUCCUGGUGCAGUUCAGUAUGUUAAAAAUACCAUUUCAGAUCUUUUAAUGAACCGUGUGGAUUUGUCUCUUUUGGUUAUAACAAAGGGUUUGACCAAAACAGGAGAUGAUUAUGCCGUAAAGGCUGCACAUGUUGAACUUGCUGAAAGGAUGAGAAAAAGGGAUGCUGCAACUGCUCCUAAUGUUGGAGAUCGUGUUCCAUAUGUCAUAAUCAAAGCUGCUAAAGGUGCCAAGGCUUAUGAGAAGUCUGAGGAUCCAAUAUAUGUGCUUGAGAACAAUAUUCCAAUAGAUCCACAGUAUUACCUUGAAAAUCAGAUGAGCAAGCCACUUCUCAGAAUCUUUGAGCCUAUUCUGAAAAAUGCAAGUAAAGAGCUUCUUCAUGGAAGUCACACCAGAGCUGUGUCCAUAUCAACUCCUUCAAACAGUGGUAUUAUGAAAUUUGCUAAGAAGCAGCUUAGCUGUCUUGGAUGCAAAGCAGUAAUCGGUAAUGCAGAGCAAACUCUUUGCUCACACUGCAAGGGAAGAGAAGCUGAGAUAUACUGCAAAAUGGUAGCUAAUGUUUCCGAAUUGGAGAUGCUCUUCGGCAGACUGUGGACACAGUGCCAAGAAUGCCAAGGUUCUCUUCACCAAGAUGUGUUGUGUACAAGUCGUGACUGCCCCAUCUUUUACCGAAGGAAGAAAGCACAAAAGGAUAUGGCCGAAGCUAAGAUGCAACUUGAUCGGUGGAAUUUUUGAGCCCACUGAGUUGGCUAUGGUAAUUCAUUUUGCCUGGUUUGAAACCAAUGUUGCUUAUAGAUUGUGGAUGCACCAAGUGGACUGCCUUCCAUGGUAUUCAGAAGCUGCGGGCUUUGUUUGCAAGUCGAGAUAGGGUUUUAAUCUAUUGGGAGUUCAUCUCAAUAUAAAAUGACCACAUCGUCAGCUGGAGUUUUAUUUCCAAGCCUUGCCUGAUAGCAUCUUUGGCAGUGCCGAGGAUGAGAGCGUUGGAAAGUCGAGCUGGUCAGUGACAUUUUUGUAUAAAAUGUUUGUGAAAGAGGCACACGUGAACAUUAUGUAAAAUUAUCAUUGUGGAUGAUUAGAAGUCUCCUUGUACUUGGAAUGGCAUGAAACCUUGGAAGGAUGAUGUUCUCGUGA